UGGUUUCUCGCUUUUUCCCUGCAUGGUUAAAAUUAUAACAUUUUUCCCAAGUUAUUCUAAUAUUAGCUAUUGAAUAGAAAUCUCAGGCGAUCUAUGUGUAUAAAAUGGUAGCGAAGUGAUAAUACAAUUAAGUAGUAUACUCUGAUAUUUCAGUGUAAAGAACUGUAGUGUUACAAAAGGAGUUGAUUUACCCAAAAGAAAGAAACAAAUAUAUCACUUAAAUACAAUCAAUACCAUAAUAUGGCUCAUAAAAGAUUAUUUAUAUGCGUCGCAGUGUGUCUAUGUUUGUUGCCACUUCUUCAAAUAUCAGAGGCAAAACGUUUCAAACUCUGUCGCUUUAAUCGAAAAACGAACACAUGUAAUGGCAUCAUUUUACGAAAGAGCGGACCAAUACGAUAUUAUGUUAAUCCAUGUGAAGUUGCCGGAGGAAGCUGCAUGAAAUUCGAAGGACGCAAACGGACCAGAUGCUUCUGUAACAACAGACAUGAUUUAUGAAGUCAGGAUAUCAGAAAAGAUGUUUUUAAAGAAUCAAGUUCGGCAUCAGUACGUCAAAGAAAACGAAGAUGAUGCAAGUAUAAAAUCUCACAUAAUUCAAUAACUGUUAGCAUAGAA
rnacentral:lncRNA from 1 species